UCAGGAUGAACGCUAGCGGGAGGCCUAACACAUGCAAGCCGAGCGGUAGAUUGCUUUCGGGCAAUUGAGAGCGGCGUACGGGUGCGGAACACGUGUGCAACCUGCCUUUAUCUGGGGGAUAGCCUUUCGAAAGGAAGAUUAAUACCCCAUAAUAUAAGAGACGGCAUCGUUUUUUAUUGAAAACUCCGGUGGAUAGAGAUGGGCACGCGCAAGAUUAGAUAGUUGGUGAGGUAACGGCUCACCAAGUCGACGAUCUUUAGGGGGCCUGAGAGGGUGAUCCCCCACACUGGUACUGAGACACGGACCAGACUCCUACGGGAGGCAGCAGUGAGGAAUAUUGGACAAUGGGUGAAAGCCUGAUCCAGCCAUCCCGCGUGAAGGACGACGGCCCUAUGGGUUGUAAACUUCUUUUGUAUAGGGAUAAACCUUUCCACGAGUGGAAAGCUGAAGGUACUAUACGAAUAAGCACCGGCUAACUCCGUGCCAGCAGCCGCGGUAAUACGGAGGGUGCAAGCGUUAUCCGGAUUUAUUGGGUUUAAAGGGUCCGUAGGCUGAUUUGUAAGUCAGUGGUGAAAUCUCACAGCUUAACUGUGAAACUGCCAUUGAUACUGCAAGUCUUGAGUGUUGUUGAAGUAGCUGGAAUAAGUAGUGUAGCGGUGAAAUGCAUAGAUAUUACUUAGAACACCAAUUGCGAAGGCAGGUUACUAAGCAACAACUGACGCUGAUGGACGAAAGCGUGGGGAGCGAACAGGAUUAGAUACCCUGGUAGUCCACGCCGUAAACGAUGCUAACUCGUUUUUGGGGCGCAAGCUUCAGAGACUAAGCGAAAGUGAUAAGUUAGCCACCUGGGGAGUACGAACGCAAGUUUGAAACUCAAAGGAAUUGACGGGGGCCCGCACAAGCGGUGGAUUAUGUGGUUUAAUUCGAUGAUACGCGAGGAACCUUACCAAGGCUUAAAUGGGAAAUGACAGGCUUAGAAAUAGGCUUUUCUUCGGACAUUUUUCAAGGUGCUGCAUGGUUGUCGUCAGCUCGUGCCGUGAGGUGUUAGGUUAAGUCCUGCAACGAGCGCAACCCCUGUCACUAGUUGCCAUCAUUAAGUUGGGGACUCUAGUGAGACUGCCUACGCAAGUAGAGAGGAAGGUGGGGAUGACGUCAAAUCAUCACGGCCCUUACGCCUUGGGCCACACACGUAAUACAAUGGCCGGUACAGAGGGCAGCUACACAGCGAUGUGAUGCAAAUCUCGAAAGCCGGUCUCAGUUCGGAUUGGAGUCUGCAACUCGACUCUAUGAAGCUGGAAUCGCUAGUAAUCGCGCAUCAGCCAUGGCGCGGUGAAUACGUUCCCGGGCCUUGUACACACCGCCCGUCAAGCCAUGGAAGUCUGGGGUACCUGAAGUCGGUGACCGUAAAAGGAGCUGCCUAGGGUAAAACAGGUAACUAGGGCUAAGUCGUAACAAGGGUAACCAGAA
rnacentral:rRNA from 1 species